AGCUAUAAGAACAAAAGAAUCAAUUACUACUAUUUUCUUGAUCUAUUGAAAAACAACUUGCAUCGCCAAAAAGAUUCCAAAACAAGCCCAGAAAGAAGAAGAAUUGUUAACAUGACAUGAAACAAAAAAUUCAGAAAAGAUCGACGGUACGUUAAGAAUGCAUGUAAUUUAGUAGAACAAUGUGAUGGGAGAGAGAAGACAAAGUUGAAGAAAAGAGACAGAUAGCCAAGCAAAG
rnacentral:misc_RNA from 1 species